rnacentral:lncRNA from 1 species
CUUGAACUCUCUUGAACUCUUGAAAGCAAGCACCACAAUUGUAGUGCCUCUAAUGGCUCACAAACACCUUGAAGCAAGAAGGCAACUAAGAGAGAGAAGGGAAUGAUGCUAAUUUCGGCCCUAGGGUUUCCUUGGAAUCAAGUGGCCUCAAAUUGAAGCAUAGGGCAUGUAUUUAUACUAUAGGGUGCUAGGGUUUUAGUCUAAACCCUAAUGGACAGCUUAGCCACCAAGCAGCCCAAGGAACCUUAUGGAAUGAGGCCUUGGACGAAAAUAUGAUGAUCCUUCAUCAUAAUUUCGUUCCCCCUUAGUCCAUUAGGUUUCCUAGCCCAAAACUCAACUAUCACACAUUUGACAGUUUAUACCCCUCUAUUUAAUUAAUCUCUUUUAGUCACCAAAUUAAUUCCUAAUUAAUUUAUGACUAAUACUAAUUAAAUAAAUAUGAUUUCUCCUUUAAUAUAUUAUUCUUAUAAUAUAUUAAUAAAUCAUAAUAUCUCCUCUCUCAUAUCAAAUUACCUUGUCAAGUUGCUUUGGUGAAGGCAACCCAAAAGGACCAUGCACACUCGGGUCAAGUAUAUACCAAAUAUGGUUACUGACUUAGACACUAAUCCAACAGUCUCCCACUUGGAUAAGUCUAGUAACUAUAUCUCACGUAUAACUUCCGUACCCGAUAGCAAUCGUAGCUUUCAAUAGCCGCUGUCAACUCUGACCAAUAAUCUGUCCUUUAGAUAAGGGAUCGUAUAAUCCUCUGUUCUAGAUAUCAUGCUAACAAUACUUAUUGUCUAGCAUUCUAUUUCUUGAUUUCUGAUUUGUUCGACAUAGAACUCAGUUGAACACAUCAACUUUAUCCUGACCGGGCCCGGCACAUAAGUCAAACCAAAUCAUCAAGUGGCCGAGAUAUCGCUUUUAUCCUCAUAGAAUAAAAGGAACAAAAAACGUUGACUAAUAUGCCUUUAUCAUUUACUAGUUAAACCACACACAAUAAUACGUUUUAUAACAUCAAGUUACUGAUGCGUUUUCGCAUUAUCAAUGUAUAAUCAACUAGCAAACAAUAACCAUAUCUCUAGGUUUAAAGAUUAUAUGAUAUUAUCAUCUUGCGAUCACUUGUGAUAACAUUCAUGAAGUAAUACCAGCAAGUGUGGGUCUAUUUCAAUGCUCAAUACAAAUUUCAUAAGCACUCAUAAACUUUGCAGCAAACCUUUGCUAUGUCUAAAACUUUUCAGACAAUCUACAAACAAAUUUAUGACAAUCUUCCUUCAUAUCUACUUCCAACAUAUGAGCGAUUGUGAACUGUUCGAAUAAUCUUAUUAUUCAGGAAGUCAAAACAUGCAAAAUCGACACAAUAGAUAAAUAAUCAACACAAGAUAGAAACUUUCUUAUAAAUAACACACCUUUAUUUAAUCAUCAUUUGUUGAAUAUGACAUUAUCUAUUACAAGUUUUCUACCUAUCUAAUCUAAACUAAUAUCGUCCUUCAGCCCUACGCUCCUAGCGUGCUGCAAAUGCUUGACCCUACUCAGUCCCUUUGUAAGGGGAUCUGCUGGGUUAUCUUCUGACGAUACCCUCUUCACAACGAGGAGUCCCUCUUCUACCCGAUGUCUAAUAAAGUGGUAUUUCCUGUCGAUAUGUCGAGAUCUGCCAUGAUCCCUUGGUUCCUUGGUUAAGGCAACCGCUCCUUCAUUAUCACAGAAAAUUUCCACGGGCUCUUUUAUGGAUGGCACAACUCCAAGGUCUCCAAUGAAGUUCUUCAACCAUAUAGCCUCCUUUGACGCUUCGCUCGCCGCAAUAUACUCUGAUUCGCACGUUGAAUCAGCUACGGUCUCUUGCUUGGAACUUUUCCAAGUCACUGCUCCUCCAUUUAGGGUAAAGACCCAGCCUGACUGCGAUCGGAAGUUAUCCCGAUCCGUCUGAAAACUAGCAUCACUGUACCCUCGUACCCUUAAGUCAUCACUCCCACCGAGGACUAGAAACCAUCCCUUGGUCCUCCGAAGGUACUUAAGAAUAUUCUUAACCGCAAUCCAAUGUGCCCUACCAGGAUUCCCUUGAUAUCUGCUGACCAUGCUUAAAGCGAAGGCCACAUCAGGGCGAGUACAAGUCAUAGCGUACAUGAUAGAGCCUACUGCGGAAGCGUAAGGUACUCGGCUCAUAUCAGCUAUCUCUGUCUCUGUACUCGGGCUCUGAGUCUUACUCAGCUUGGUAUUGCUUUGGAUUGGCAACUCCCCUUUCUUGGAAUUUUCCAUACUAAAACGCUUUAGUACCUUUUCCAAGUAUGUAUCCUGACUGAGUCCUAUCAGUCUCUUUUCCCUGUUUCUUACUAUUCUUAUUCCCAGAAUAUAAGCGGCUUCUCCGAGGUCCUUCAUAGCGAAGCAUUUCCCAAGCCAGGACUUGACUUCCUGCAAGGUUGGGACAUCGUUUCCUAUGAGUAGUAUGUCGUCGACAUACAAUACGAGGAAGCUUACUAUACUCCCACUGGCUUUGACAUACACACAAGAUUCAUCUUCGCUUCGCAGAAAGCCAAACUCUUUAACCUUCUCAUCAAAACAAAGAUUCCAUCUGCGAGAUGCUUGUUUCAAUCCAUAAAUAGAUUUCUCAAGCUUGCAUACUCUAUUCGGAUGCUUCACAUCGACAAAACCCUCUGGCUGAUUCAUGUAGACAUCCUCAGCCAACUUUCCAUUAAGGAAAGCGGUCUUCACGUCCAUCUGCCAUAUUUCAUAAUUAUGAAAUGCAGCUAUGGCAAGCAUCACCCUAAUAGACUAUAUCUUCGCAACUGGUGAGAAGGUCUCAUCAUAGUCAACUCCGGGAGUUUGAGUAAAGCCCUUCGCAACCAAUCGCGCUUUAUAAGUAUGCACUUUCCCAUCCAUGUCCAUCUUCUUCUUGAAGAUCCACUUGCACCCGACUGUCUUACGACCCGGUACAUUAUCAACCAAAUUCCAAACUUGGUUGUCGUACAUGGACUGAAUCUCGCUGUCCAUAGCCUCUUUCCAUUUUGCAGACUCCGGGCCUGCCAUGGCUUCCUUAUAGCUGCUAGGUUCAUCCAAAUUUACUAGUGUACUAUCACUAAUAAAUGUAUCCCCUUCAGUAGUAAUAUGAAAACCAUAAAACUGGGGUGGAACACUAGCCCUAGUGGAACGUCGAAGAGGUAGGGACUCGUCAAUAGGUUCAACAGGAGUUUCCUCCUCAAGUUGAGUGCCAGUGUCCGAGGUUCCUUCAUCGCUUUGAUCUUGAAUUUCUUCAAGUUCAAUUUGCCUCCCACUGUCUUCUUGGCUUAUUAAUUCCCUUUCUCGGAAAACCCCUCUUCUAGCAACGAAGACAACAUUGUCACUCGGUCUAUAGAAAAGGUAGCCAAAAGACUUCUGCGGAUAGCCGAUGAAAUAACACUUCUCACUACGAGGUUCUAGUUUGUCGUGAGUCUCUCGUCUUACGAAAGCCUCACAACCCCAAACCUUGAUAUGUGCCAACGAGGGAGCCUUCCCUGUCCACAUCUCGUGAGGAGUCUUGGAAACCUUCUUAGUGGGAACUAAGUUAAGUAUAUGGGCGGCAGUCUCUAAGGCAUACCCCCAGAAAGCUAUUGGUAGCGAAGUCCGACUCAUCAUAGAACGAACCAUGUCCAACAAGGUCCGAUUACGUCUCUCAGCCACACCAUUCAAUUGUGGCGUUCUCGGAGGCGUCAAUUGCGAAACGAUUCCACAUUCUUUUAGAUAGUCGUGAAACUCAAGACUUAGGUACUCUCCUCCUCGGUCUGACCGAAGCAUCUUGAUUUUCCUGCCCAGCUGAUUCUCCACUUCAUUCUUAAACUCUUUGAACUUUUCAAAGGUUUCCGACUUUUGCUUGAUCAAGUAGAUAUAUCCAUAUCUGCUAUAAUCAUCUGUAAAAGUCACGUAGAAGCGGCAAGCAUCCCUUGUGGUGGAUCUAAAGGGCCCACACACAUCGGUGUGUAUGAGAUCCAAUAAACCCUCACCCCUUUCACAAGUGCCAGUAAAGGGUGACUUGGUCAUCUUCCCAAGUAAACAAGACUCACACGUGUCAUCGUCCCUAAGGUCGAAUGACUCCAACACUCCAUCCUUUUGGAGUUGGGCUAUGCGUUUCUUGUUGACAUGGCCAAGACGACAAUGCCACAAGCAUGCUUUGUCUAGACUAGUAGACGAAUCAAUAUUCAAAACAUUAUUUCCAAAAUUAUCAACAAUCAUCACUGAUUCAUAAAUCCCAUUACAAGGUAAUGCAUUGAAAUAAAAGACACCAUUCAAAUAAACAUUAAUAGAACCAUUACUAUUAUCAAAAGAAUAUCUGAAACCUUGUCUAAACAACCCAUGAAAAGAAAUAAUGUUUCUUGCCAUAUCUGGCGAAUAACAGCAAUUCUCUAAAUCUAUUCCUAACCCAUUACUUAACACUAAAGAAUAAACACCGACUUUGGUCACAGGCGACGAUCUUCUGUUUCCCAUAAUCAGGUUCAUCUUCCCAUGCUCCAUCUCCCUACUUCUUUUUAGGCCCUGCAAAUCAGAACAAAUGUGGUAACCACAUCCUGUAUCAAGAACCCAUGAAGUAGCAAAUGAUGAGUUAUUAGAUUUAAUAGAAUACAUACCUGCAAAUGUGGGCUUGAUCUUCCCAUCUCUUAUGUCCUGCAGAUAUUGUGGGCAGCUUCGCUUCCAGUGGCCCUUUUGGUGGCAAUAGAAGCACUCUGCUUCUUUAGGAUCGGAAGAGGGUUUAAUGGGGCCUGCUUUGGUCCCACUUGAUGACGAACCAUCACGGGGUUUCCCCUUAUGGUGGCUCUUACAUGGAGCCUUCCUCUUUUUACCCUUUCCUUGACCUAUCGCCAUCACGGGAGCGGCCACAGCAGGCGACGGUGCAACGGAUUUGUCUUUGAGGUUGCUCUCAGCAGUCCUCAAGAGUCCUUGGAGCUUGCUCAAGGAGACCUCCUCUUUGUUCAUAUGGUAGGUCAUCCUAAACUGAUUGUAGCAGGAGGGCAAGGAGUGGAGGAUUAUGUCGAUAGCCAAAUCCUCAUCAAACUUAACAUUAAGUUUGAGAAGACGAUCAACAUACCUCUGCAUUUUCUGCAAAUGAGAGGUUAGGGAUUCUCCACUCCCCAUCUUAGCGGUGAUCAUGUUAGUAAUGAUCUCAUAGCGCUCUUGCCUCGCGCUCUGGUGAUACCUGUCCAGCAAAUCCUGAUGCAUUUCAUAUGGAUACAUGUCCUCAUAGGACUUUUGGAGUUCGAGGUUCAUGGUGGCCAGCAUGAUGCAGUGAACUUUCGUGGCAUCACGCUCGUGGGCCUCAAAGGCGGCCAGUUCCUCAGGAGUAGCAACAUCUGGGAUGAUCUUCUCAAGCUUUUCAUCGAGGACAUAUUCUUUGUCCUCGUAGCGUGUGAUCAUGCGAAUGUAUCUCAUCCACUCGUUGAAGUUUGAACCAUCAAAUGUCACUUUCUGACACAAGUUCAUCAACGAGAAUGACCCAGAAGCGUUGUUGUUGUUGUUGUUAGCAGACAUCUGAAAAAGAAAGGGACAAAGCUUGAUUAGAAAUGAAUCCCUAAUUAAACACCCAAAUGAGAAAUUAGGGCUAGGAUCCAACAACAUUAUUUACAACUUAGAAAGGGAUGCCGUACUCUAAAAGUAAAUAACUUGAAGGUAAGUGAAUGACGAUUCACUAAUUCUCACCAUGAAAAACGAAAAAGCAAUUUAGGUUUUAAAUGUAUUGAAAACUCCUAGAUCUUUGAGAUUCAUUGAACUUUUCAAUGGCAUGUUUAAAUCUCGAUAUGCAUUUCACAUUUGCGACUGGGAUGCCGAGGAUCGCAAACAAAUUUGUGAAUAACCAUGCGAAUUAACGUGGUGCACUCAACGUCACUAUCACCUAAUCAAUGUGCCGGUAAACCACACACGCUCCAUUGAUCUAUGACAAACAUCGAGUCACCCUUCGCUACCUAUGUCAUCCCCAAAUUGAUGUGCCGGUUAACCACACGCGCUCCAUCAACGUUUGACAAGGGUACGAAGUGUAAUUCCAUGGAUUAGCAUCAUUUUCACAUUUUACCCUAAAGUAACUAAGAGUGGGAAUUUGUAAAACAAUGUAGUUACUUUAAUAUUUCCAUUAUACUUUUAAUGAGGAAUUAAGUGCCCUAUCCUAUCCGUUCGGCUAACGACCCUCCACCAGUCAAGCAAGCGGUAGAUGUGAGUGUACAUCCAUUAAGCGCCAUUUUAUAGGCAGCAACCUUAUACCCACCUUAUAGACCGGCUUCGUGAAUGAGGCCUACUAGCGAUAAGACUAGCUUAUUCUUAUACAUAUAUAAUAAUUAAUCUUAUAAUAUCAUAAUUGUAUAAGGGUGUAUUUUAAAGCAUUUCAAAAUACUAGUAUCUUAAUGUGUAUUAAAAUUUUCGAAAAUUAGGGCUAUUUAAUUUAAAAUUUUAAACACCAAAAAAAAAAAUUUGAUUUAAUAAUUAUCAAAAUCAAACAAUUAAUUUGAACUAUUAAAUCUUUAAGGUUUAUCAUAAAAUCAAACUAUUAAUUUAUUUAAUCCUUUUAUCCCCUAGAUUUUUAAAUAUAUGGAAAGGAUAAUACAAGAUCUUCAAUUAUCUAGUUUAAACAAUUAAAUGGAUAAUCAUAAAGAUAGCAAUAUCCAAAUCCCUAAAAUCUUGGGAUCUUAUCUUGGGGGGCAAGGGAUUUUCGAAAUCCUUAGGGUUUCUUAACCCUAAUUUUCGAAAUAUGGAGGCUAGGCAAAAGAGUUUUAAGAACCCUAUCAAAAAUCGCCAACUAGGGUUUUGCAACCCUAAUUUGCGAAAAUCACCAAGCCUUAGGGUUUACUUGCCAUAAACCCUAAUUUGUCAAAUUCAUAAUAUGUAUCAAAUCCAAUUGAAAACAAAAAACCAAUGGCUCUGAUACCACUGAUAGGUUUAAUACAAACAAUCCUAUGUGUGCAUGCAACCCUAGUUGGAUCUAUGUUUUCACUAUAAGACAUACAACUUUAUGAACACAAAAUAAACCCUGGCAUGCUUCUAUAAUUUUCGAAAAUUACAUAGAAGUGUAGUAGACAUACCUUUGUUGUUAUAUAGCAAUAACAACUAGUUUCCUUGAUCUCUUGAACUCUCUUGAACUCUUGAAAGCAAGCACCACAAUUGUAGUGCCUCUAAUGGCUCACAAACACCUUGAAGCAAGAAGGCAACUAAGAGAGAGAAGGGAAUGAUGCUAAUUUCGGCCCUAGGGUUUCCUUGGAAUCAAGUGGCCUCAAAUUGAAGCAUAGGGCAUGUAUUUAUACUAUAGGGUGCUAGGGUUUUAGUCUAAACCCUAAUGGACAGCUUAGCCACCAAGCAGCCCAAGG